rnacentral:rRNA from 1 species
GAGUUUGAUCCUGCUCAGAUUGAACGCUGGCGGCAGGCCUAACACAUGCAAGUCGAGCGGAUGACGGGAGCUUGCUCCUUGAUUCAGCGGCGGACGGGUGAGUAAUGCCUAGGAAUCUGCCUGGUAGUGGGGGACAACGUUUCGAAAGGAACGCUAAUACCGCAUACGUCCUACGGGAGAAAGCAGGGGACCUUCGGGCCUUGCGCUAUCAGAUGAGCCUAGGUCGGAUUAGCUAGUUGGUGGGGUAAUGGCUCACCAAGGCGACGACCCGUAACUGGUCUGAGAGGAUGAUCAGUCACACUGGAACUGAGACACGGUCCAGACUCCUACGGAGGCAGCAGUGGGAAUAUUGGACAAUGGGCGAAAGCCUGAUCCAGCCAUGCCGCGUGUGUGAAGAAGGUCUUCGGAUUGUAAAGCACUUUAAGUUGGGAGAAGGGCAGUAAGUUAAUACCUUGCUGUUUGACGUUA